UUAUGCCGGGGACUCAUUGGAGACCGCCGGGGUCAACUCGGAGGAAGGUGGGGAUGACGUCAAGUCAUCAUGCCCCUUAUGUCCAGGGCUUCACGCAUGCUACAAUGGCCGGUACAAAGAGCUGCGAGCCUGUGAGGGUGAGCGAAUCUCGGAAAGCCGGUCUCAGUUCGGAUUGGGGUCUGCAACUCGACCCCAUGAAGUCGGAGUCGCUAGUAAUCGCAGAUCAGCAACGCUGCGGUGAAUACGUUCCCGGGGCUUGUACACACCGCCCGUCAAGUCAUGAAAGUCGGUAACACCCGAAGCCGGUGGCCUAACCCAUUUUUUGGGGGGGAGCCGUCGAAGGUGGGACUGGUGAUUAGGACUCACACCACGAGAGUUGGCAACACCCGAAGUCAGUGAGGCAACCG
rnacentral:rRNA from 1 species